rnacentral:pre_miRNA from 1 species
AAAAGUUAACUCAGUAUGGAGUCGGAACGUUUGCCUAGGUUUGCCGCUAGGGACGCUGUUCCAAUCGCAUACAAAUUUGAGUUA